rnacentral:rRNA from 1 species
CGGACGGGUGAGUAACGCGUGAGAAUCUGCCUUCAGGUCUGGGACAACCACUGGAAACGGUGGCUAAUACCGGAUGUGCCGCAAGGUGAAAGGUUAACUGCCUGGAGAUGAGCUCGCGUCUGAUUAGCUAGUUGGCAGUGUAAGAGACUACCAAGGCGACGAUCAGUAGCUGGUCUGAGAGGACGAUCAGCCACACUGGGACUGAGACACGGCCCAGACUCCUACGGGAGGCAGCAGUGGGGAAUUUUCCGCAAUGGGCGAAAGCCUGACGGAGCAAUACCGCGUGAGGGAGGAAGGCUCUUGGGUCGUAAACCUCUUUUCUCAGGGAAGAACACAAUGACGGUACCUGAGGAAUAAGCAUCGGCUAACUCCGUGCCAGCAGCCGCGGUAAUACGGAGGAUGCAAGCGUUAUCCGGAAUGAUUGGGCGUAAAGCGUCCGCAGGUGGCGAUGUAAGUCUGCUGUUAAAGCGUCUAGCUCAACUAGAUAAAAGCAGUGGAAACUACAUAGCUAGAGUGCGUUCGGGGCAGAGGGAAUUCCUGGUGUAGCGGUGAAAUGCGUAGAGAUCAGGAAGAACACCGGUGGCGAAGGCGCUCUGCUAGGCCGCAACUGACACUGAGGGACGAAAGCUAGGGGAGCGAAUGGGAUUAGAUACCCCAGUAGUC